rnacentral:lncRNA from 1 species
GGGUAGGCGGUUGCGGGCUCACCGGUCUUGAAGUCCUUCCCCGGCGGAGGAUACGCCGGGCCGCUGCUCCCUGGGGCCGGGUUCACCGUUACGGGGUUGGCGGGCUUGGAAUCCGUCCCCGGAGCGGGGUAGCCUGCGGGCGGAGGAGGUGCUGCGGCAGGGUACGCGAAGGCGGGCUUGGAAUCCGUCCCCGGAGCAGGAUAGCCUGCGGAGGGAGGUGCCGCGGCAGGAUACGCGACGGGGGGCGGCGGCGCGUGGUCGGCCGCGGCGGCAGGGGCGUCGAGGAACUUGUAGGAGAGGUUGAGGACGCCCUUGGGCUUGCCGGAUCCGGUCUUGCGGACCUGGUAGCUGACGAACUGGGGGCCGGACGAGGGCUUGCCUCCGCCGUCCACAAGGAGCUCCUUGAGGGGGAUCUGCACCUCCCCAACGUCUCGAUCGCCGAGAGUGCGCUCGGCACGGAGGAG